AAAAACACAACAAAGAAAACUAAAUAAUCCCAACGAGUGUUUGUGUAUGGGUGUAUGCGUGUGCAAUGAGAGUAUGUGUGUGUGUGUGUGUGUGUGGUGGCUGUGGGAAGUCCGUGUAGCGGCCGCUAAUCCCGGGCCGGGGACAGAGUACGUGAGGUUAACAAAUGAUGGACAACAUCACUAGUACCUGAGGCAGGCGAACGAACCAGUCUGGAUUGUGUAUCCCCAGGCAGGCGACCGAACCAUGUAGUAGAGCUCAAUUUCUCCGACACUUCGGCGAUCGCACCCAGUCAGCGCAUGCAGAGAUUCCAGCACAAAACAGCAACAACCUUCAGGUAGCGUGCGUCCCAUUCCAAUACAACCUACACGUGUGUUUUGUUUUUACUUCCCUCUCUUUCACUUCCGUUUCUAAACUCGCUUUUAUAUUAAAUUUCCUUCAUUGAUUUCCGCCCAUUAGAAAAAGUGAAAAGCUGGCAUGGAUUUCUUCCAAAUCGCCACACUCUCCCUCCCUGGAGAAAACAACCUAUGGUUGUUGAAAUAUUAAUCAUAUUUAAAAUCCAAUGAAUUCCUCAUCAUCAGACGAUUCAUUGAAUAUUUGGCAGAGUCUUUUCUUCUCCUGGCUUUCCAGCUCUUCAGCCGUGGGAAAGCAUGGUUUCAGGUUGCACACAUGCACUAUGCGAACAUCUUCGCCAGUGGACUCUAGCGCUACUCGAUAAUUCAAUGGACCCAUCUGCUUUAUGACACGCAUUCCAUGGCCUUGGUCUGAAGCUCAGUUAGAUGGUGGACUGUAUCGUAAGAUAGACAAUCUGGAGUUAUAUUCUUGCCAUGUAACAACUUGUCCAUGGGACUUUGCAGUUUCCUUCCCAAAUGAAGCUCUGCAGGGGUCAUCCCAAUCGUUUCCUGGACAGCUGAAUUAAUAGCGAAACGGAGUUCAGAAUGAAGUCCGGUACCCCCCAACGGGUUAGAAUUUCCUUCCGAAGAAGUAAUGCAACAGUCUGAG